CAUGGUUGCAUACCUUCCAAGCUCCACCGCCUCUUCUUCCUCGUGGGCAGAUCCCUGAUUUUGUGUAGGACAGCACUUGAAAUGUAUUUGUGUGCUCAACAUUGGUUUCCUCUCUGGAACCUGGGAUCACUUCAGGGGUGGACACGUGGCCCAACCAUGACUGAUGAGACAUGCGGGGAAAUCUGCAGAGGCAACUUCUAGGAAAGGUUGGGCUCUUGCAGCCACCCUGUGACUAUGAGGUGUUAGAAAUGCUUAGAGCCAGAAAGACACACAAGAAACAACUGUGAAAGUUGAUCAUACAAAUCGGGUCAUUCUUAUCAUAUCCAAAUAAAACCGCCAAGAAGCCAAGAGGGAAAGGUGCUCAGGAUGCAUAACAUUGCUCCAAGAAUAUAAUUUUCUGCAAGCCUGGCUGCUGUAACCUGAAACCAGUUUUAUCUAAUAGCUGCUAAAAUGACCUGCUGCAACUCUAAGACCAAUUAUACCCAUUCCAUUACUUACCAAUCAAAAGUUGCCACCUCACCGGAACUGUACUAGUGCCAAUGAACUUUCUCAAAGAGCAAUACAUAACACUUCUCUUUGUUAUAAAACCUCCAACCAUCUCUUUGUUCUUUAGACACACCGAAAACCACCCAAUAUGUGGUCUUG
rnacentral:lncRNA from 10 species